AGACUCUGGUUUUCUUCAUUACGCACAAGCCUUUCGCCUUUUACUAAAGACUUCCGUGGAGAGGAACCUUACGAGUUCAACUUAUUUGGAGCGGCUUUGCUUCUUGCAGAGCC
rnacentral:snRNA from 1 species